rnacentral:rRNA from 1 species
CCUGGUUGAUCCUGCCAGUAGUAUAUGCUUGUCUCAAAGACGAAGCCAUGCACAUGUAAGCACAGACAACCGGUACAGUCAAACUUCCAAUGGCUCAUUAAAUCAGUUAUGGUUCCUUUGAUCACGCCAUCUGUUACUUGGAUAACUCUGGUAAUUCUACAGCUAAUACAUGCCGCAAACACUGAUCUCCCAGAAUGCUUGCAUUAUCGACCAGCCUCUCUAUUGACUAGAUAACCUUGGGCUGAUCGUAUGUCCCUGUGAUGGUGACAAUACAUUCAAAUCUGCCCUAUCAACGUUUGAUCAUACUUUCUGUACCUACCAUGGUGACCACCGGUAAUGGGAAAUCAGGGUUCGAUUCCAGAGAGGGAGCCUGAGAAACUACUACCACAUCCAAGUAAGGCAGGAGGCUUGUAAAUUACUCUCCCAACUCUGGGAGGUAGUGACAAAAACUAACAAUGCAGGACACUUUCAAGGGACCUCUAAUUGGAAUGAGUACACUUUAAAUCCUUUAACGAGGAUCCACUGGAGGACAAGUCUGGUUCCAGCAGCCGCAGUAAUUCCAGCUCCAAUAGCGUAUAUUACCGUUUCUGCAGUAGAAAAAGCUCAUAGUUGGAUCUUGGGACUGAGCUAGUGGUCCGCUGAGAAGUAAGCUACCACCUGUCCCAACACCUGCCUCUCGGCAUCCCCUUGAUGCUCUUAACUGACUUUCCAACGUACCACGCUAAAGGGUGGGACAAACAACAGGGGGUCCUGAAGGAGGAAGCAGGGCCCAGCAAGAGAGAACAGAGUCGUGGCCUGCACAUGGUCUGGAAGGCAAAACUGGGUCACUUUGAAUAUCAGAAAGAAGAGGUGGGGAGCGAAAUAGCCUGCUCCAGUAUGUCGGAGGCAGGGAGCGAUGCCAUACCAAGAAAGAUAUUGCCACCCUCCUGGAAGAGAUCAGAGGAAUGAGGGCGGACAUAGGCGGAAAAGUAGAUAGAAUUAAUGUCAGAAUCGACAGUAUGGAUGAAAGGCUACAGGCGGUGGAGAACAAUCAAAUCUCUCUCUCUCGAGACACUGGAAACCCAGAUGGACAUGAGGUUGGCGCAUCUGGAGAGAAAGGAAGGCGACGCAGCUUUAAAGAUGGAUGACUUUAGAAAACUAGGAGAGGAAGAAUAAUCUGAGAUUUUUUGGAAUCCCGGAAAGGGAAGGCGAAACGAACGUGAUCUACGGAGAACCAUCCUUGAGGUG